CUUAAAGGGGAAUUCUCCUUAGUCUUUAUGCAAAAAAGAAAUUUUUAGUUUAUAAACUACCUUUCU
rnacentral:tRNA from 1 species